CCUGGUUCUCCUGGUUCUCCUGGUUCUGCUGGUGAGACGAUGCAUCUGUAGGAAACCUAAAGCUGCUGAAGCUGAAGCUGGAGAUGAUGACGUCACAUACAGUGAUGUCACCAUAUCACGUAACCUGCAGCAGCCAAUCAGACGGAGCAGAGAGAGUGAUUCAGUGGCAAUCUACUCCGGAGUGAGAACAGAAGACGUCUGUUACGGACAAAUAGUGAACAAAGACAAGAAAUCAAACAGGAAGAGAGAGAGUGAUCCUGCUGCAAGCUACUCCGGAGUGAGAACAACAGACGUCUGUUACGGACAAAUAGUGAAGAAAUCAAACAGGAAGAGAGAGCCUCCAGCAGACCCAGAGGUCCUCUACUCCUCACUGAGGAAGACCUGAACACCAUCACACCAGUCCAACCAGUGGAGUCCAGCCGGCCAAUCACUGGUCCCCAGAGACCCUCACAUCUACAUCUCUUUGGCCCAGCAUAUUU